AUUGAACGCUGGCGGCAGGCCUAACACAUGCAAGUCGAGCGGAUGAAGGGAGCUUGCUCCUGGAUUCAGCGGCGGACGGGUGAGUAAUGCCUAGGAAUCUGCCUGGUAGUGGGUGAUAACGUCCGGAAACGGGCGCUAAUACCGCAUACGUCCUGAGGGAGAAAGUGGGGGAUCUUCGGACCUCACGCUAUCAGAUGAGCCUAGGCCGGAUUAGCUAGUUGGUGGGGUAAAGGCCUACCAAGGCGACGAUCCGUAACUGGUCUGAGAGGAUGAUCAGUCACACUGGAACUGAGACACGGUCCAGACUCCUACGGGAGGCAGCAGUGGGGAAUAUUGGACAAUGGGCGAAAGCCUGAUCCAGCCAUGCCGCGUGUGUGAAGAAGGUCUUCGGAUUGUAAAGCACUUUAAGUUGGGAGGAAGGGCAGUAAGUUAAUACCUUGCUGUUUUGACGUUACCAACAGAAUAAGCACCGGCUAACUUCGUG
rnacentral:rRNA from 1 species